AGAGUUUGAUCAUGGCUCAGGAUGAACGCUGGCGGCGUGCUUAACACAUGCAAGUCGAACGAUGAUCCGGUGCUUGCACCGGGGAUUAGUGGCGAACGGGUGAGUAACACGUGAGUAACCUGCCCUUAACUCUGGGAUAAGCCUGGGAAACUGGGUCUAAUACCGGAUAUGACUCCUCAUCGCAUGGUGGGGGGUGGAAAGCUUUAUUGUGGUUUUGGAUGGACUCGCGGCCUAUCAGCUUGUUGGUGAGGUAAUGGCUCACCAAGGCGACGACGGGUAGCCGACCUGAGAGGGUGACCGGCCACACUGGGACUGAGACACGGCCCAGACUCCUACGGGAGGCAGCAGUGGGGAAUAUUGCACAAUGGGCGAAAGCCUGAUGCAGCGACGCCGCGUGAGGGAUGACGGCCUUCGGGUUGUAAACCUCUUUCAGCAGGGACGAAGCGCAAGUGACGGUACCUGCAGAAGAAGCACCGGCUAACUACGUGCCAGCCGCCGCGGUAAUAC
rnacentral:rRNA from 1 species